rnacentral:rRNA from 1 species
CGGGAGGCAGCAGUGGGGAAUUUUGGACAAUGGGCGCAAGCCUGAUCCAGCAAUGCCGCGUGCAGGAUGAAGCCUUCGGGUUGUAAACUGCUUUUGUACGGAACGAAAAGGCUCUCACUAAUACUGGGGGCUCAUGACGGUACCGUAAGAAUAAGCACCGGCUAACUACGUGCCAGCAGCCGCGGUAAUACGUAGGGUGCAAGCGUUAAUCGGAAUUACUGGGCGUAAAGCGUGCGCAGGCGGUUAUGUAAGACAGAUGUGAAAUCCCCGGGCUUAACCUGGGAACUGCAUUUGUGACUGCAUAGCUAGAGUACGGCAGAGGGGGAUGGAAUUCCGCGUGUAGCAGUGAAAUGCGUAGAUAUGCGGAGGAACACCGAUGGCGAAGGCAAUCCCCUGGGCCUGUACUGACGCUCAUGCACGAAAGCGUGGGGAGCAAACAGGAUUAGAUACCCUGGUAGUCCACGCCCUAAACGAUGUCAACUGGUUGUUGGGUCUUCACUGACUCAGUAACGACGUAACGCGUGAAGUUGACCGCCUGGGGAGUACGGCCGCAAGGUUGAAACUCAAAUGAAUUGACGG